ACGAACGCUGGCGGCGUGCCUAAUACAUGCAAGUCGAGCGGACUAAUUAAGAGCUUGCUCUUAUGAGGUUAGCGGCGGACGGGUGAGUAACACGUGGGCAACCUGCCCUGUAGACUGGGAGUAACAUCGAGAAAUCGGUGCUAAUACCGGAUAAUUGUUGGAACUGCAUAGUUCUAACUUAAAAGAUGGCUCCGGCUAUCACUAUAGGAUGGGCCCGCGGCGCACUAGCUAGUUGGUAAGGUAAUGGCUUACCAAGGCGACGAUGCGUAGCCGACCUGAGAGGGUGAUCGGCCACACUGGGACUGAGACACGGCCCAGACUCCUACGGGAGGCAGCAGUAGGGAAUCUUCCGCAAUGGACGAAAGUCUGACGGAGCAACGCCGCGUGAGUGAUGAAGGUUUUCGGAUCGUAAAGCUCUGUUGUUAGGGAAGAACAAGUGCCGUUCGAAUAGGGCGGCACCUUGACGGUACCUAACCACCGAAAGCCACGGCUAACUACGUG
rnacentral:rRNA from 1 species